rnacentral:tRNA from 1 species
GGUGGGUUGGCUCAGUGGUUAGAGCGUAGGUCUCAUAACCGAAAGGUCGCGAGAUCGAAUCCCGCAGAGGCUG